AAGUCGUAACAAGGUUUCCGUAGGUGAACCUGCGGAAGGAUCAUUACUGAGUUAGGGUCUUUGAGGCCCGAUCUCCAACCCUUUGUUUAACUAUCCUUGUUGCUUUGGCAGGCCCGUCUCUCGGGACCGCCGGAGGUUUUACCUCUGGCCAGUGCCUGCCAGUAGCCAAUUUAAAUUCUUUAUAAUUAUGAAGUCUGAAUCUUUAAUUAAAUUAAUUAAAA
rnacentral:misc_RNA from 1 species